UACGUAGGGCGCAAGCGUUGUCCGGAAUUAUUGGGCGUAAAGAGCUCGUAGGCGGCUUGUCACGUCGGGUGUGAAAGCCCGGGGCUUAACCCCGGGUCUGCAUUCGAUACGGGCUAGCUAGAGUGUGGUAGGGGAGAUCGGAAUUCCUGGUGUAGCGGUGAAAUGCGCAGAUAUCAGGAAGAACACCUAUGGCGAAGGCAGCUCUCUGGGACGGUACUGACGCUGAGACGCGAAAGCGUGGGGAGCGAACAGG
rnacentral:rRNA from 1 species